CGUAACUAGCAUUGUACAAAUUAGGGAAUAAGUGGCUGCAUUACCCAGAUUGAUUGUGUUGUGUGUACCAAGACAUGAGAACCAAGUACAGCAAAGGAUAGCAUAUAUACUUCAAUCAGAAAGGUCCUAUUUUUGAUGUAUCAUUACUUUGCUGCAACUGAGAUAUAUAAUGUGAUCCGUGUCUUUAUUGCUGCAUAUGUUUGGAUGAUUGGAUUUGGCAACUUUUCCUACUAUUACAUCAGAAAAGAUUUUAGUCUUGCACGUUUUACUCAGGGUAUACCGAUCCUGCAAAGCCAGAUCUCUCUCGGCUGCAUGAGUGGCAUUUCAGAUCUGGACUUGAUCGUUAUAUAUGGAUCAUUGGAAUGAUAUAUGCAUAUUGUCAUCCAAAUGUUGAGAAGUGGAUGGAAAAAUUGGAGGAAACAGAAACCAAGAAGAGAGUUUCAAUCAAAGGGAUUGUAGUUGCUGUUUCCGUAUUUGUGAGUAGCAUUUAUGUGACAACAAUUUUAGUAUCAUGAGCUUAUAUAAUGCCAGUGAU